rnacentral:lncRNA from 1 species
AUGCUGACGGUGACAGAGCCAUGCCUCUGUCCGUUCUCUGACUCUGCAGGGCCUCGGAGGGUCAAGCCCGGAAGUGUGGAGGUCAACAGAGGGCCUGUGGGCUCCCAGCUCCAUGUGGGAUGUGGGAAAGAGGGCCGGCCUUGGGCUUGUUGCAGAAGCAAGACACGCAGCACUGGCGAGAAGCAGAUCAGCAGCUUUUGGGACGAGAGGAGUCGUUACCAAGUGCCUAUGGGCAUUUGGGUGGGAGGGACCAUUUGUGCUUCCGCCAUCUGUGAUGUGGAGUAUUCACUGUACCUGCCACAGGUCAGUGGGGAUCAUGGCUUUCACGGAUGCAGAGAAGAGUUGGUAGAUGAGGAAUGUGAGACCCUGAAGGGACCUCUAGGACCAUCUGCCAUCAUCUCAUCUUUAUGUGGUUCUCUGGAGAUGAGCCAGGCUCAGAGGCCACACCAUGGCAGCAUGAGCUGGGGACAUCACACCCAAGCCCAGGGCUCUGGGCUCCACGGCCAGUGUCCUUCCUGCCGCAGCAGGAGCUCCUCAGUGCAUUAUCUGAGUCCUGGAUUUGCAAUGUUGACCGGAACAGCCGGCCUGGCCAAGAAGUUCUCCUGUCACAUCCACCAGUGGAUUCCCCUGCUGGAUUUUUUUCAAACAUAUGAAGUAUUUAUGCUGGAGUUUCAAUGUGACAUGAUGGGAGAUACAAGAAGCCUUCAAAGGACUUGACAACAUGCAGGUCAGUCCUGUGGGCUCCAUCUAUAAAACAAAUGUUUGUCAUCCUCCGGUAAGCACUUCUUACGGAUAAAUAAAUAAUCAGGGAGCUAAUCGAGUGUGCACCUUGCCACACGUUUAUAUGUAUCCUUUUCUUUGCACAUCAAUAACCCCAUUGGAA